UACAGAGGUCCCAAGCGUUGUUCGGAUUCAUUGGGCGUAAAGGGUGCGUAGGUGGCGCGCUAAGUCAGGUGUGAAAUUUCGGAGCUUAACUCCGAAACUGCAUUUGAUACUGGCGUGCUUGAGGACUGGAGAGGAGACUGGAAUUUACGGUGUAGCAGUGAAAUGCGUAGAGAUCGUAAGGAAGACCAGUGGCGAAGGCGAGUUUCUGGACAGUUACUGACGCUGAGGCACGAAGGCCAGGGGAGCAAACGGG
rnacentral:rRNA from 1 species